rnacentral:rRNA from 1 species
CCUACGGGAGGCAGCAGUGAGGAAUAUUGGUCAAUGGGCGCAAGCCUGAACCAGCCAAGUCGCGUGAGGGAUGACGGUCCUAUGGAUUGUAAACCUCUUUUGUCGGGGAGCAAGGCCCGCCACGUGUGGCGGGAAGGAGAGUACCCGAAGAAAAAGCAUCGGCUAACUCCGUGCCAGCAGCCGCGGUAAGACGGAGGUUGCGAGCGUUAUCCGGAUUUAUUGGGUUUAAAGGGUGCGUAGGCGGAAGGUUAAGUCAGCGGUAAAAUGUCGGUGCUCAACACCGGCCUGCCGUUGAAACUGGUCUUCUUGAGUGAGCGAGAAGUAUGCGGAAUGCGUGGUGUAGCGGUGAAAUGCAUAGAUAUCACGCAGAACUCCGAUUGCGAAGGCAGCAUACCGGCGCUCAACUGACGCUGAGGCACGAAAGCGUGGGGAUCGAACAGGAUUAGAUACCCCGGUAGUC